GACGAACGCUGGCGGCGUGCUUAACACAUGCAAGUCGAGCGGUAAGGCCCUUUCGGGGGUACACGAGCGGCGAACGGGUGAGUAACACGUGGGUGACCUGCCCUCAGCUCUGGGAUAAGCCUGGGAAACCGGGUCUAAUAACCGGAUAUGACUCCAUGACGCAUGUUGUGGGGUGGAAAGCCUUGUGCGGCUGAGGAUGGGCCCGCGGCCUAUCAGCUUGUUGGUGGGGUGAUGGCCUACCAAGGACGACGACGGGUAGCCGGCCUGAGAGGGCGACCGGCCACACUGGGA
rnacentral:rRNA from 1 species